rnacentral:rRNA from 1 species
UACAGAGGGUGCGAGCGUUAAUCGGAAUUACUGGGCGUAAAGCGCGCGUAGGCGGCUUGUUAAGUCAAAUGUGAAAGCCCCGAGCUUAACUUGGGAAUUGCGCUUGUGACUGGCGUGCUGGAGUGUGGCAGAGGGAGGUGGAAUUCCACGUGUAGCAGUGAAAUGCGUAGAGAUGUGGAGGAACACCGAUGGCGAAGGCAGCCUCCUGGGCCAGCACUGACGCUCAUGCACGAAAGCGUGGGGAGCAAACAGG